ensembl:lncRNA
GUUUUCUACUAUGAAUCGGAGUUAAAGGUGGCGUUGCUGCCAGUUAAAGGGGCUUUUGACGACACGUCACACUUUCGAAAUCAGUUUUUCUUUCGUAAUGUUAAAGUUUUAUUGAUUUUUGACGAGUCACCACUUCUAUCACACGAAGGGGAUUUCUUCCCAGAUCUGGACCAGGGAAUCACUGAGUUCCUGGACAGUCUGAAGUGCAGCCUGCAGUGUUGGAUGGGCCAAAACAUAAUGUCCCAGAUAUAACCCAGAUAUAUGUUCUAUUGGAUUUAAGUCAAGGCAAGCAUGGGGACCAGUCAGUGGUAUAAAUUCCUUUAUCCAAAAAGUCAUAAUGAAUGACAGACAGCAUAACAUUCUUAAUGGCUUCUCCAAACCCUUUCACGUCUGUGACACAUGCUCAGGUUGAACCUGCUCUUAUCUGUGAAAAGCACAGGACACCAGUGGUGGAUCUGCCUAUUCUGGUAUUCUAGGGCAAAUGCCAAUUUUCUAUCUUGGCUCUCAGCGAAGGUGGUCGCACUUUUUUCCUCUCCUCCUUACCCUUUAUGUCCUUGUCUUGUCUCGUGUGCAUUACUUUCCCUGGAACAGUCUCUCGCUGUCGUUCUCUAAAACCUAAACGAGAAUUAUGGAUUUGAUCAACUGGUCUCUGAAUGCUAUUGACACCCUCUUCUCAACGAGAAGUCUGGGCUUGGGAGAGCCUGAGUGCCCUGGAGGGACUUUCCCUGCCGGAUACACGAUGGACGGGUGGCAGACAUGGAGGGUCGUGUGCCUGGCGGGACUGUCGAUCGAGGACGCUGAAGAUAUCUAUCUAUUCGGAACCGUGAUAACAGGGUUCUUGCUGAUCGGAGUUGGCUUAGCCCUGGUUUAUCGGAGAAAUAAGAGAGCGGAACCGGCUGUUCAAACCCCCCCAUGGCUGCCCGCUGGAAUCAAAGCGAUGGUACGAGGCACGACCUCUCACAACGAACGCCGCAUGGUUAACACCUUGGAGACGCUUACAGCUGCUGUGAAGGCUCAAAAUAACACCAUUGAGCGUAUGAGGGGAUACAUCAGAGAGAGGCCUGCUCAAAAUGAGACCCUUGAGCGACAGUUGGAACACAUCGCGGAACGGAUCACUGCAGUUGUGAGGUCUCAGAAUCAAAAGAAUGACAACACCACGGAACGGAAGUUUGAUACCAUCAUGGGGAGGCUCGCGGCUCUCCAACGGGAGAUUGAGAGACCAGCGUCAGAGUGUUAAAGAGCAGCCUGAAAAUUCUCCUGGGCUGCUCGCAUGGAAAUUUACAAAAUCAAUAUCGAAAUUGCGGACCCCCAUCACGGCGCCAGCUGCAGGCCCAAGGCUGGAGCCGAACAAUCACUCCCUGAUAAUGACUGUGUUAUGGCUGUUCUUCCCAUCCCAUGCAAGGACACCUGGAUUGGCUGGAGGACUGUUUACUUAGCCUGAUAGGGUGAAGGACACUGUCUCAGCUGAACUAUGGACACGCACACACACACACUUACACUGAUAAGCACUCACUCAUCCCCCUUCCCCUUCCAACACCUUCGAUGCUUACCUGUCCCAUGAUGUGGACGUCGGGUCAGCUGGCGGCGCAGUCGAAAGAUUGCAGCAGUUCCCAGAUCAGAUGUACACACUGUGUUUAUUGUGUUAUGAUAUCCCCUACCCAACCCUGUGGCUUGUCAUGUCUUUCACUAUGUGGUGAUGUGUCCAUUCUUAUGGUCUUUUAUUUGGUGCAGAGGAGUUUUUUUUGUUUCCUGCUCUCGUGCUGUCCUGCAAUGGAAGCGCAGCAUGAGUGGGGGUCUCUUUUUUUCCUCUUGUACCAUCCCGUUGUUGUGUAUAUUUCAGUGUUUUUUUUCCUUCUGUAACGCUGCCAAUCUCCGACUUGUAACCCCAUGUGAUGUCUGUGUUAUGUGUGUAAUGUCGGGGGGGGGGUCCCAUUUUCGCUGCAGGGCAACCUGCUUGCGACAAAUAAAGCUUGAUGAUACUGAUACUGAUACUGAAUUGGACCCAAUGGUACUGGCCAGUCAGCACAAGGCCCACUAGAGUCUGUUUCUUAGUCAGAGAGUGUAGGUCACUGUCGGUCAUUUUCUUGGUCUCUACCAGUACUUAACCUGUUCCUCUUUGAACAAAGGUGCAGAUACCAGUAAUUCAGAUAAGUUAAGAGUGUUCUAUGGCCCUCUCCUAGAGAAAUUGUC